AUGCCCGCCAAGGUACGCUGCACAGGCACACAGCUUUCUUCCCUGGCUUCGGCUUAUCCCUUCCCCGAGCUAAUCACGGCGCACAAACUCAAGAAGUCCCUGUAUGCCAUCUUCUCCCAGUUUGGCCAGAUCCUGGAUAUCCUGGUGUCUUGGAGCCUGAAGAUGAGGGGCCAGGCCUUCGUCAUCUUCAAGGAGGUCAGCAGUGCCACCAAUGCCCUGCGCUCCAUGCAGGGCUUCCCUUUAUAUGACAAGCCCAUGCGUAUCCAGUAUGCAAAGACUGACUCAGACAUCAUUGCCAAGAUGAAGGGCACCUUUGUGGAGAGAGAUCGAAAACGGGAGAAGAGGAAGCCCAAGAGUCAGGAGACACCUGCUGCCAAAAAGGCUGUUCAGGGCCGGGCAGCUGCCCCAGUAGUGGGCGCUGUCCAGCCUGUACCGGGCAUGCCACCGAUGACUCAGGCACCCCGCAUCAUGCACCACAUGCCAGGACAGCCUCCCUACAUGCCACCACCUGGCAUGAUUCCGCCACCAGGCCUCGCUCCUGGCCAGAUUCCCCCUGGGGCCAUGCCCCCACAGCAGCUCAUGCCUGGGCAGAUGCCACCUGCCCAGCCUCUCUCCGAGAAUCCACCCAAUCACAUCCUGUUCCUCACCAACCUGCCUGAGGAGACCAAGGAGCUCAUGCUCUCUAUGCUUUUCAACCAGUUCCCUGGCUUCAAGGAGGUGCAUCUGCUCCCUGGGCGCCAUGACAUCGCCUUCCUGGAGUUUGACAAUGAAGUGCAGGCUGGGGCAGCACGAGAUGCCCUGCAAGGCUUUAAGAUCACACAAAACAAUGCUAUGAAGAUCUCUUUUGCAAAGAAGUAGCGCCUUCCCCUACAGUGUCCCAGUCCCCAUUCUGAGGCUGCCCCUUCCCCCUGUCCUUUGGCUCAGUCCCUGAAGGUAAGGCCCCCUUGGGGGCCUUCUCAGAGCCCUGUGUGAGUGUGUGGUUGCCACACAGCAUUGUACCCAGAGUCUGUCCCCAGACAUUGCACCU